UUGGUUGGUGGUUGGAAUGAUCGGUAGGAUGCUCGCUGGUGCGCAACAUGGCAUCUCGUCAAAAGGGCGUGGAAAAGUCGCGAAAGCCCGGCCAGCGUUGGUCGGGCACUUCUCCGUACUGCUGCGUGCAUGGCUGCCACAACAGUUACAGAAACACCGCUGGAAGACAGCCGCCCGUCAAGUUCUACCGGUUCCCAUGGAAGUCGUACGAAGCUGAAAGGAGGCAACGUUGGAUCGCGGCUGUGCGGCGCACAAGACCGAACGGCGAGCAGUGGCAUCCUAAGCGGAAUGAGACGCGCAUUUGCAGCGUCCACUUCGCUGGGAACGAAAAGAGUUCGAUUGCUGAGCACCCGGCGUACGUACCGACAUUGUUUCUGCCGUGCUACAAUAAACAUGAUGGUGUGUUGCCCCGGGCGAAGAAUAGAGGGCAGCAAAGGCUUCAGCAGCACAGCUCAUCUCUGCUAGUUGCUAAACCAUCGCCGUCACCCACUCCACUUGAAUAUCCAGACUUUGAGAUCAGAUAUGUUUCUGCGCCAACCCAGACAGAGAAUGACUCGUGCACGGGACCAUGCCAUCUGUUUCUUUCUACCAUCACCCAGUCUUCUGCCUCAACGCAAGUAUCACACGUCAGCGCCAUUGACAAAAGUGUGCAAUGAACUGUGCAGCAAGCGGUCCUGAGAAGCACAGUUGCGUGUUCCUCGGGUAUGACUCCUUGUACGGAAGAAUGCAUGCUUUCGUAUAACAAUGUCCCAUUCAGCAAUACCCAAGAUGCCAUGAAAUAAAUGAUUAGGGAUGUGAGCCAGGAAAGUACGUAUUUGUGGAUGCUGCAGCAGCCAGGUGCCCUUUCUGACCAGAGUGCAGGUGAGCCAAGCGGUGCAGACAAAGUCAUGUUUGUAGGCAUAAAGGCUUCUUGUUUGCUUUCCAAGGCUGGUACGUGAAAAUACCGCUCGGGGUGCCGAUACAAAAGAGCAAAUGUGGCUACUCUGGAAAUGACGCCUCGACCGUGUGAUGGGCCACGGUGUCUUAAGACACUGAGGGGUAGCUUGACAUCUUGGAGCCAUAUGGAGGAGCUUGAACUGCCCAAGUCUUACGUUGGUAUGUGUACGACAGUACAAGAGUGCCAGCGUUGCCGCAGCAAUCAACACGACAAGAGUGAGUUAAUGUUAAUUGGAAAGACAAAGUUGACACAGCACAGAUUCAGACAUGAACAUAGUCACUUCCUGCUCCUUUCCCAGUGGACUGUCGGUCAGGCCAGACGGUACAGAAUGAAGGAUUUCCAGGAGUGACUAACAUUAAGUGGGUGAAGUUGUCUAAGCAUGUCCACCAAGCCAUCCCAUGCUUCGCAACAGUUACUGUGCCAAGGAGGCCAAGACACUGAACCAUACUCGUCAGGUGAGAGGCAGCUCCAGACAUGCAAGUUUGAAGUACUCGCUGCACAUGCGGCCCAGCUGUAGGCCACAAGGGGAUGGCUAGUGUUCAAGAUUCGAAGAAUUCCCAACUCAUGGCUCGUUGGUGGUUUCUCUGAUGGACAUCUGCAUGCUGUAGUGGAGGGGCACACAUCAGCGCUGGGUCAACUUGGCCGUUUUCCCACCUGGGAGGUCGAUGUGGUUGGGUUGCCUGUGAUGUGUCUGUCAUCAGGAGCACCAGGCUUGUAUUGUCCUUCUGCGGGGCCUGGCGGUGUCACAAUCAAGAGAGAGAGUGGCCCGUUUUGAGGAUUCCACUACUCAGAAAUGAUUGUACACCAAGAGAAGAAGCGGCAUCACCGGCUAGCUUUCCUACAUUGCAGUUGUAAUUCUAUAAAUAAACUUCUUGCAGCAUAUAAAUAAAUCUCAGUGCCAUAAAAAGUUAUUGACAUCGACUGCAGCCUGAAAAUUAAAGUUAAGCAGCCUGACGAUGAAGCGC